rnacentral:tmRNA from 3 species
GAUCUGGAUUUCCGGCCGUCGAUCGUCUAUAUGAGACCUGCGGUUGAUGACCGGUUCGUAAUAACGUUUCAGGACCCGGAGGGCAGUACUCCGGCGCCUCCACCACGAACGCAGCGGCGCUGCGUUUCUGAUGGGGGCGAAAUAGGUUCGACUGGGCGGUAAAGGGAUCGCGAGUUCAGCUUCACUUCGGUGAGGUACGAUGCGACUGUCGGUAGGGACUCGACCGGUUCGACGCGGGCAACCCCCGUUUCGGGCACCUGACCAAAUCCUAAAUGCCAACGAUAACGUUGUCAUGGAUGCCCGCCUCGCGGCGUAAGCAUCUUGCGGUAGGGUAACCGUCGAAACAGAACCCGGGGCU